rnacentral:rRNA from 1 species
UACAGAGGUCUCAAGCGUUGUUCGGAUUCAUUGGGCGUAAAGGGUGCGUAGGCGGCGCCGUAAGUCAGGUGUGAAAUUUCGGAGCUUAACUCCGAAACUGCAUUUGAUACUGCGGUGCUUGAGGACUGGAGAGGAGACUGGAAUUUACGGUGUAGCAGUGAAAUGCGUAGAGAUCGUAAGGAAGACCAGUGGCGAAGGCGGGUCUCUGGACAGUGACUGACGCUGAGACGCGAAAGCGUGGGGAGCAAACAGG